CGCGGGGUAGAGCAGUGGUAGCUCGGAAGGCUCAUAACCUUCAGGUCGUGGGUUCGAAUCCCACCCCCGCAU
rnacentral:tRNA from 1 species